GGCCCGAGCGCGAGGAGGCGGGAGGAGCCGGGCAGGACUCGGCUGCCGCCGCUCUCAGUCCGGCCGCGCAGCGGGAGGGAGGCGCGAGGCAGGAGCCGGCGGCUGGGCUCGGCAGCGCAUCCAGCGCAGCGCGGCGCUCCGGGCCCGGCCCCAUGCCCGCAGCCCCGCCGGACCGCCCUUGAGCGCGGGCGUCCUGCCCGCGCCCCCCGCCCGCCGGCACCAUUGCCCCGACGGCGCGGCCGGGCGGCCCGGCGCUCCCCAGGCUCCGCGCCGGCCGGAAAACGCUGCUGGCGGCCGCUGCGGGCGUGGUGAUGCUGCUGGUGCUGGUGGUGCUCAUCCCCGUGCUGGUGAGCUCGGGCGGCCCGGACGGCCACUAUGAGAUGCUGGGCACCUGCCGCAUGGUAUGCGACCCCUACCCCGCGCGGGGCCCCGGCGCCGGCGCGCGGCCCGACGGCGGCGACGCCCUGAGCGAGCAGAGCGGCGCGCCCCCGCCUUCCACGCUGGUGCAGGGCCCCCAGGGGAAGCCGGGCCGCACAGGCAAGCCGGGCCCCCCCGGACCCCCUGGGGAUCCAGGUCCUCCGGGUCCUGUGGGGCCACCCGGGGAGAAGGGUGAGCCGGGCAAGACCGGCCCUCCCGGGCUGCCGGGUGCAGGGGGCAGCGGCGCAAUCAGCACGGCCACCUACACCACGGUGCCACGCGUGGCCUUCUACGCCGGCCUCAAGAACCCUCACGAGGGUUACGAGGUGCUCAAGUUCGACGACGUGGUCACUAACCUAGGCAACAACUACGACGCGACCAGCGGCAAGUUUACGUGCAACAUUCCCGGCACCUACUUUUUCACCUACCACGUCCUCAUGCGAGGCGGCGACGGCACCAGUAUGUGGGCGGACCUCUGCAAGAAUGGCCAGUCCUAUCUGUCUCUCCUGAGUCUCUGGCCUCUUUCCCCCCAGGCUUAACACCCCUCUUUAUUCCUUGAGUGUUUCUCUCUCACUUGGUCUCUAUGAGGCUUCCCGUGUCUCUCCUCUUUGUCCUUGGUUCCUGACCAAAUGGGAGGCCUCAGUAUCCAGUGAGAGCUCACUCUGCAGACAGCCCCACGAUUUCCCUUAUUAAUCACCAAUAAAGGAUGCAGCAAUGUCACCUUCAUCAAUAGAAUUUCUUCCUUUCCCAAAGAAAGUUUGGGCUGGCACCGAGCUGAGGUCUGAGGGGGCUGGGGGCCCAUUUUGUCUGGAUAGGAAGCUGGUCACCAGAGCACCAGUGGGCCCUAGGCCUUGUACCACCUCAGGAGGUUCCAGUGGGGCUCCAGAGAUGAGGCAUGAGGAGACCCCAAAGGUGAUGUCUGCUUGGGCAGGAUCACUUGCUUCAGUCACUGGGAGGUGAAACCAUCUCAAAGCCUCUUCCCCCUUCAGUAGGGGCAAGGCACUGGCACAACCUGACAAGGAGGUACUCACUGGCGGUGGGACCACAGGCUAGUAGAAAAUAGGAGGUGGCUUUAACUAGGGGGUUCACAGAUCCAGCAUUUUAACAGUUACUCAGACCAUGCCCCCCCGACUAAAAACUGGGGCCUACACCCCUCUCCCGUACGUUCUUUGUGACUUGUCCUUCCAGAUUGCUCAAAAGACUCGUUAAGUCUCACUAGUCAUCCCACGUACUCACUUCGAGCCCCGACUAAGAGGCAGGUGUGGAGCUAGGUAGCAGGGGUUUGAUCCACUUGCCCUACAGGACCUCAUGGUCUGUGCAGGAAAGAUAAUAGUAACCACCCAAUAACACACCCCAGCAAUUGGUGUGUUAGAGGGGGAUUGGGGACCCAGCUGGCAACUCCCAUCCCUAAAUGUGUUAGCUGGAGGGAAUAAUUCACUGGUGCCUGCCCCCACUCAGAACAACCUGGUUAGGGGAGAGGAUGGCAAAACUGGGCUGGUCCCCAAGGUGAGGAGACAUGGCUAGGGAGGAAAUAAAAAGGUCAAGUGCAGGGAAAGGCUGGCUCAGAGGUAGAAGAGGACAUCCAAGUGAGCAGAGACAAAAUGAUGGCUCUGGGCAAUGGACAGGAACAGAACAGAGGGGCUUCUGCCUCCCAUGGCUGCAAGACCUGGGGCACUGCUGGGCUCUGUGCUUUUCCUUUCUGGCUUCCUGCCUGAAGAAAUGCUUCCAGAAUUUCCUCAGGAAGGCAGGACUGAAAUUGGUCCUUGGCCUUUCCCUCGGCAAGAUAGGGAGGGGAGAGGUCACUGAAGCGCCGAGUCCCCCACUCUGUCCUUGCCUGAGGCCCACCAGCCCCUCUCCCCAAGGGGAGCCUUGAGUCACCACUGUGUAGCCUGAGGACACCAAGGCCUGGUCUUUAGGACAUGGGGAUCUGAGGAGCCCGAGGAAGGGGCUGUAAGUUAGGAGUGGUGCCCUGAGUGAGGUAAGCUCCCUGCAACUGCCUCAAAGAUCCACAGUUCGGAUGUCAGGGAAGACAUGAAAUUAAUACACUGGGCCAGGAGAGAGGGGGCUGUGUGGGGAUGGACCAGGGUCUAUGGCCAGGGUGCCACUUGUCCAGGGCAGGGACUUUGGGGAGGUGAAUAUCACAAACGGGGAAGGGCUUGGACAACAGAACCUGAGUGAGGUGAGAGAUGGGGUAGUAGAUAAAUUGAGGACUCCAGCAUAAAGGCCUCACUGGAGCUCAGCCUGAUGCCUGACAGUGGGAGAGGGGCUCCCCACUGUCUUUUUCUAGCUAGCCCUGAAUGCUUUUCACAGCACAGAGCACAGUGCCUAACUCAGCAGGGACCCAGGAAAUAUGUGAAAGCACAAGUGUCCCCUGUGGGCCAGGCUGGUUGCCUGUGGGAGCCACUCUUGUACAUCCAACACCCCAGCACUGAUCCGGGGGCAGGAGCUUGUUUCUUGGGUUCUCCCCACUCCUCCCUCCAGGGCCCUGGUCAGACCACUGCCUCAGUUUCCCUUCCCCUGGCAGCCCUUGAGGAGGUGAUUCUACAGCGCCCCCUCGUGACAAGUCCCAGACUUACUUUCCUCCUUCCAUGGCAGCCUCAAUUCCCCAAAUUUCCCCAUGGCCUCCAGGAGAAGCUGGAUGCCUCAACUGUUUCCUGUCUCAGGCAGAGAAUCAGGACCCCUGGGUUCCAUUCCUGGAUCCCCCCACUAUCUAAGGAUGGAAGGGCAUCAAUUUUUCUGCCUCCGUGGAUAAUUAGGAUAAUCACAGCAACAAUCAUGGUGAUGAAUAAAUAAUAAACAUAAGCAUAACAGUUCUGAUGCCUGUCACAUCACCAGGAGAUUCCUGAUGACAGAUGACUGUGUUCUAAUGGAUUUGGCUAUUAAGAAGCACACUGUUUUAAUGAGUUAAGGCUCAAUUAAUCUGGGUAAUAAAAAUAAUUGUUAUUAGUAGUAAUUUAUUAGCAAAGAUAAUGAAAUGCAUACGUAAUAAUAAAUACUACGAGGAUUAGGGCCCAGGGAACAAUAUAGAAGUUGGCUGUUUUCGUUGAGCGCUUUCCUAGUAACACAAAGCCCCAUCAAGAUUAAAAAUUUUUCCCCCACCAUCUGAAGGCUUUUAUAAAGGUGGCAGUGGUGAGGCGGGAUCUUCUCAUCCUUUUUCUGAACAGAGAAAUUGAGCUUUUUGAAAGACAGCAUCUUCCCCUCAUUUGCUUUUCCCCACCUUUAGCUGAACUGUGAGUUUUCCCAGCUAAGUGUCCCCAAACGGUUCUUGCCCCUGGUCGGGGGAAGAAGAGAUUGAGGGGAGAGAAGGGGCUGGAAGGAUCUAGCAUGCAAAUACGUUGGGUGCCCCCGUUGUAGCAUUGCUGCUGACUCAGCAGCUUCGGCACAGCUGACCUGCAGUUCUGUCUCCUGCCCAGGAAGGAGAAUGGACCGUUCCCCUAAUUUGGCUUGGUCCAGCCCAGACUGUUAGCCUUUGGGAGAGCUGCCUUCAGGGAAGGGGCCAGUUGGAGAGGGGCUGUUGAAAAGCCUGACUGAGAGAACCCCACUCAAUGCAGCCUCCCCCCAACACAAGCCUGCACCUUGGAGAUAUCCCCUGUCUUCCCAUUCUCCACCCAGGCUAUCCUGGAAAGGCCCCAGAUCCUAUGGCUCAGGCCCUGUGUUGCCUCAGUUGGAGAGGAAUGCCUGGAGGGAAUUUGUUCACCAUCACUCACCCUCAGUAUCUAAUGAUUCUAGUCGGAGCCCCCAGAAGUGACCAGCAGACUUCACACACAAAUGUUGGUGCCCUCUUGCUUCAUUGAACUGCCUGUCCCUCCCCUCACCCAUCAAAACAAGGACUGGCAGGGAUAGAUCAGACUGAGGAUCACACAAAGAUGGAAAGCCUGGAUUCCCUCCCUCCACCCACUUCCUUUCUACCACUCUGUGGUGAGACAGGAGGAGCCCAAGGUCCUCUGUGGGUGGGAUAAUAGUCACAGGUAUAGCUAUAGCUCUUUGGAGGCCAGGAUGCAGGCUCAAUCUGAGCCUUGGGAGGGGAAAUAAUUACCAGACCUUCCAUCUCACUGCUCCAGUAUGAAAGACCCCAGAACGAACUACAGACAAGGAGUUGAAAUAUUGGGUUCUGGUACUAGGGUGGUUGCUUAGUAGCCACCUGGCAUUAGUCUAGCCACCUGACCUAUGGGGCCAAGGUGUCCAUCCCUGUGUCCAUCCACUGACAUAAGAACAGGUGGGUGUGGCUGAAAGGUAAGGCAUUAUUGUUACAAUUAAAGCAGAGAGGAAGGAAUGAUAAGGAGAGAAGGGAUGGCCCUCCAUCCCCUGGUGUUCCAGAGAAUUCCUCUCUGCAAGGAGGGAGUUCCAGGCUGGGCCAUCCCUGAAGGCAUUGUUGACGUCCUCUGCAGGCCAGACGGUGCGCGCCAGCGCCAUAGCCCAGGACGCAGACCAGAAC